rnacentral:rRNA from 1 species
UACGUAGGGGGCAAGCGUUGUCCGGAAUCAUUGGGCGUAAAGAGCGCGUAGGCGGUCCGGUAAGUCGGUUGUGAAAGUCGGGGGCUCAACCCUCGGAGGCCGACCGAUACUGUCGGGCUAGAGUCCGGAAGAGGCGAGUGGAAUUCCUGGUGUAGCGGUGAAAUGCGCAGAUAUCAGGAGGAACACCAAUGGCGAAGGCAGCACUCUGGGACGUGACUGACGCUGAGACGCGAAAGCGUGGGGAGCAAACAGG